AGCAGCUUGGCGCAGUGGAAGCGCGGUAUGUUUACACACGAAUCUUGAAAACAAAACUCGUACUAACAUACUCUAGCCGGGCUCAUAACCCGGAGGCCAUCGGAUCGAAACCGAUAGCUGCUA